rnacentral:rRNA from 1 species
AUGCAGCAGCUAGCAGCAAGGCCCAUUGACGUCGCCGCACAGUCCAGUGCGGGCAGGAACCAUUUGAUGACUUCACAUGGAAUACAAUUGCAACUGUGUCAAGCUUGUGCAGAAGAGACCACCAAAGUAAUUAUUGAUGACAUUGGAGAUAGAAAUUUUUCUUUACUUAUUGAUGAGUCCAGAGAUGCAUCAAUAAAGGAGCAAAUGGCUAUGGUUUUAAGGUAUGUCCAUAAACAUGGGUAUGCGAUUGAGAGGUUCAUUGGGAUUAAGCAUGUUGGUGACACAAGGGCAACUUCUCUAAAAGCAUCUUUGGAUGGUGUGUUUCUUAAACAUGGCUUGUCUAUGUCUAAAUUGAGAGGGCAAGGGUACGAUGGAGCUUCUAACAUGAGAGGACAAUUUCUUGGGUUGCAAAGGUUGAUACUAGAUGAAAAUCCUUAUGCAUUUUAUAUUCAUUGCUUUGCCCAUCAGUUGCAGUUAGUGGUUGUUGAUGUUGCCAAGUGUUGUUCCUCUGUAUUGGAUUUCUUUAACCACAUAACUUUGAUUGUCAACACCGUCAAUGCUUCUUGUAAGGGACAUGAUGAACUAGCCCAAGAACAACAUGAUAAUAUUGUGAAUCAAUUGGAGUCUGGGGAAGUUUUUUCAGGAAGAGGGAAAAACCAAGCAACCAACCUUGUAAGACCUGGGGAUACACGGUGGGGCACACAUCAUAAAACUUUGUGUCGGUUUAUUGAGAUGUGGACAUCUUUUUUGCAUGUAUUAGAGAACAGUCAUGAUGAUGCAGAAAAUUUAACACAAAGAACCACAGCAGGUGGCUUGAUAUCUCAGAUGGAAAGUUUUGAAUUUGUUUUCAUGUUGCAUGUUAUAAUCACACUAUUGGGCAAGACUAAUGAGUUUUCACAAUGUUUGCAAAGGAAAGAUCAAAACAUAGUUCUAGCAGUGAGUUUGAUUGGGAUCACAUUGCGGCAACUUCAAAAUAUAAGAGAUAAUGGUUGGGAUCAGCUCUUGAAGGACACAACUGACUUUUGUGUCAAACAUAACAUUAUAUUGCCUAACAUGGAUGAUACAAUACCCGCUCGGGGUCAUUCAAGGGGGCGUGGUGGUCAAAUGUUAACUUUCUAUCAACGCUUCAGAUAUGAAAUAUUCAAUGUUUUGCUUGACCAAAUAAUUAUUGAGUUAAAUAACCGCUUUGCUGAAAGAUCUACUCAAUUGUUGAGAUGCAUUGCUUGUCUUGAUCCAAGGAGCUCAUUUGCUAAUUUUGAUGAAGACAAACUUAUUCAACUUGCUCAGAUGUAUGCUGAUGACUUCUCCAUAUAUGAGAUUUCUUUUGUCCUUAGAAACCAACUUGAAAACUUCAUUGCUGAUGUGAGAGCUGAUCCAAGUUUUGUUAGUUGUAAUGACCUUGGUAGUCUUGCUGUGAAGAUGGUUCAAACUGAUAGACACAUAGUCCUUCCUUUGGUAUAUCGUCUUAUUGAGUUGGCAUUGAUUUUGCCUGUUGCAACCGCAUCAGUGGAAAGAGCUUUCUCAGCUAUAAGUAUUAUCAAGACUGAGUUGAGGAAUAAGAUGGGUGAUGAUUGGUUGAAUUAUUCCAUGGUGUGCAAUAUUGAGCGAGAAAUAUUUGCAAAGGUUGAUGAUGAUGCUAUUAUAUAUCGCUUUCAAGACUAUAGAUUUCGCAAAGGAACUUUACCUCGUCGUAGUAGUGUUGGCUCUUCUUCCACCGUUGAUCAAGUUAUGGAAGACACUGAUGAAGCAAACAAUUGA